rnacentral:lncRNA from 1 species
UGGCUGCACCCAUUUAUAUUCCCACUAACAGUAUAGGAGGGUUUGCUUUUCUCCUCACCCUCUAAAGCAUUAACUAUUUAUAGACAUUUUGGUGAUGGCAUUCUCACUGGUGUGAGGCAAUACCUCACUGUACUUUUGAUUCGCAUUUCUCUAAUAAUUAACAAUAUUGAUUAUGUUUCCAGAUGCCUGUUAGCCAGCUACGUCUUCCCUGAAAAAAUGUCUAUUUAGGUCUUCUGCCCAUUUUUUGAUUUUUUUUCUUUAUAGGGCCACACCUGCAGCACAUGGAAGUUCCCAGGCUAGGGGUUGAAUCAGAGCUACAGAUGCCAGCCUAUGGCUCAGUCACAGCAACACAGAACCUGAACCACGUCUGCAACCUAUACCACAGCUCAGGGCAACAGUGGAUCCUUAACCCACUGAGCGAGGCCAGGGAUUGAACCCACAGACUCAUGGAUCCUAGCUGGGUUUGUUACCACUAAGCCAUUAUGGAAACUCCUGGAUGUUUAUUUUUUGAUAUUCAGCAGGUUUGUUUGUUUUUUGAUAUUUAGCUAUAUAAGGUGUUUAUCUAUUUGGGAAAUUAAGCUCUUGUUGUUGCAUCAUUUGCAAAUAUUUUCUCCUGUUUUGUAGGUUGUCUUUUCAUAUUUUUAUGGUUUCCUUUGCCAUGAAAAAGCUUUUAGGUUUAAUUAGGUCCCAAUCUUUAUUUUUGUUUUUAUUUCUAUUACUCUAGGAGAUGGAUCCAAAAAGAUAUUCUUGAAAUUUAUGUGAAAGAGUGUUCUGCCUAUGUUUUCCUCUAGGGGUAUUAUAGCAUUUGGACCUACACUUAGGUCUUUAAUCCAUUUUAAGUUUGUCUUUGUAUGAUGUUAGAGAUGUUCUAAUUUCAUUCUUUUACAUGUAGUUCUCCAGUUUUCCCAGAACCACUUAUUCAGCACUCAUUUAUGAUAAAAAAAAAAACCUCUUUAGAAAACUGUCAUAGAGGGAAUCUACUUCGACACAAUAAAGUCCAAAAACAACAAACCAACAGCUAACAUCAAACUCAAUGGUAAAAAGCUGAAAGCAUUUACUCUAAGAUCAGGACAACACAAGGAUGUACACUUCUACCACUUUUAUUGAACAUCGUUUUGGAAGACCUAGCCACAGCAAUCAGGGAAGAAAAAGAAUUAAAAUAAUCCAAGUUGGAAAAGAAGUAGUAAAACUGUCACCAUUUGCAGAUAACUUGAUACUAUAAAUGGUAAAUCCUAAAGAUACUACAUGCAAACUACUAGAGCUUAUCAAUGAAUUCAGUGAAGUUGCAGUAUAAAAAAUUAACACAGAGACAUCUCAUGCACUUCUAUACACUAUCAAUGAAAGAUCAGAAAGAAAACUUAAGGAAACAAUCCCAUUUACCAUUGCAUCAAAAAGAAUAAAAUACAUGGGAAAAUGCUUACUUAAGGAGUCAAAAGACUUUUACUCUGAAAAUUAUAAGACACUGAUGAGAGAAAUCAAAGAGGACAUAAACAGAUGGAAAGAUGUACCAUGUUGUUCGAUUGGAAGACUCAAUAAUAUCAAAAUGACAUAUACUAUCCAAGACAAUCUACAGAUUCAAUGCAAUCCCUAUCAAAUUAUCAAUGAUAUUUUUCAUAGGAAUACAAUAAAAAAAUUUAAAAAUUUCUAUGGGAAACACAAAGGACUCUGAAUAGACAAAGCAAUCUUGAUAAAGAAAAACUGAGCUGGAGGAAUCAAGCUCCAUGACUUCAGAAUAUACUACAAAGCUAAAGUCAUCAAAACAGUAUGAUAAAAAGAAUGAAAUAAUGUCAUUUGCAGCAACAUGGAUACAACUAGAGAUUAUCACAUUAAGUGAAGUAAGUCAAAAAGAGAAGUACCAUUCGAUAUCUUAUAUGUGGAAUCUAAAAUAUGGCACAAAUGAACCUGUCUGAAAAAAAGUAACAGACUCACAGAUAUAGAGAAUAGACUUGUGGUUGCCAAAGGAGAUGGGGGAAGGACUGGGAUGCAUUGGAAAUUUGAGGAGUUUUGAUUGGUUUUAGAUACAAUAGAUAUAAACUAUUACAUUUUGAAUGGGUAAGGAAUGAGACCCUAAGCAAUGAGACCCUGUAUCCAAUCUCUUGGGACAGAUAAUGACAGAAGAUAGUAUAAGAAAAAAAUGUAUAUAUAUGUAUGACUGGGCUACUUUGCUGUACAGCAAAAAUUGGCACAACACUGUAAAUCAACUAUGCAUUAAUAAAAACAAAACUAAACCAAACCAAAACCCCCAAAAAAGCAGUAUGGUAGUGGGACAAAAACAGGAAGAUGGAUCAGUGGAACAGGAUCAAAAGCCCAGAAACAAACCUGUGCACCUAUGGUCAAUUAAUUUACAAAAAAAGGAGGCAAGAAUAUCUGAUGGAGUAUCAUACUGUUUUCUUUACUAUAGUCUGUAAUAUAGUUUGAAGUCAGGAAGUGUGGUACCUCUAGCUUAGUUCUUCUUAUCAAAGUUGUUUUGUCUAUGUGGGGUCUUUUGAGGAUCCAUAUACAUUUUAGGGUUUUUUUCCUAAGCUUUUUUUUUUUUCCCAAAAAGAGCAAUAUAACUUUAAAAUAAAGUAAAAAACCUAUAUGAAUGUACUGUUUUCUUGGUUUAAACACUGUCCUUGAUUUCCAUUCACAAAGCUUAAACAAAGAUGCUUCCUGUUUGAGUGUCCGAUUUUUGUUUAGCUUUAAUUCCUCCUAUUUCUCUCCUUACUCUAACAUGCUAAGAUUGAGCAAUUAACAAUGUGUAUAGGUGCUUAAACCCACCUUGUCAGUCCAGGUCAGUUUCAAAUAUUUGUUCAUGAUGUUCCUCAUCUUUUCAAUGUUCUUCUUCCUCUGUAUACGUCUAAAAGCAAGGAUAGAGUCAGAGUCAGACUCAGCAGUCAACUAUUCUAGAAACAGGCUGCCUACCCCCCAAGAAAUAUUAUGUUCUUUUUACGCCAUAAUACCCAUGUAUUUAUUUAUUUACUUUCGAGCUCACUGUUUCUAUCAGCUCUAUUUGACCUACCAGUCUUCUUCACUGUCUUAAAAAUCUUCUUAGGGCAUGAGCCAUAUACACUUUGUGUUCAUAGGGUUACCAUUAUGCUUAAUCCAUUGUAGGUAUUCAUUUGGUGCUAAAUUAUUUAAGCUCUGUCAAUAGGAUAUUGUUUAGCAGUUAAAUCUCUCUGUCUGAAGGACAGACAAUACACUGUAAAAAAAGUUUUGUUUUUUUUUUUUUCAUGACAAACUCCAUAUAAAUGAAUCAGGCCAUAUUUUUAACGGUUGAACAGAGAAACAAAGAAAUGUCUCUGCCUGUAGGCCAUUCUGAUGUUGGAAUCUUCUUACCAGCAGAGUUCCCAAUUAACAUUCAAGAAAAGCUGUUUGGUUUGGACAGUCAUGUCAAUGAAAUGAUUUGUUUUGGAAAGGAAUAGCAUUUAACUCUACAGAGAUAGAAACAGACACAAGACAAGAGAAUAAAAAAGAAGUUUUCUUUUUUUCUGUUCAGUUUUGAAUAUGAAAUAUACAUCAAGGGUAGUUCUUGAGGUCUGUUUUUCUCCCUGUAUAGCUGUUAUGCCCAUUAGGUACCCAUGAAAACAAACAGGAUGAAUAACCAAAAUAAUGCAGAAACUCUUGGGACAAACCCAAGUGUCUAGCAAACAUACAUUUAAAUAACACAUUUUAUAUAACAUGUAUGCUGUUAUUAAUCUGAUAUUUUAUGAAUAUAAAUAAAUCAAUAUAAAUACAUAAAUGUGUGUGCUUCCAAGGUGACAGGUACCAGACCAAUGAAUUUAUAAACAAAUGCUCAUUUACUUCUCCCAAUAAACUUGUAAGGUCAACAUUUUUAUUUCACCGAUGUGAAAAUUCAAGCUCACAGAGAGACUAAAUGAUUUAAAUCUUGCUUUUCUUGGUUCUACUAAAUAAUAACAACCACAAAAAUAAUAUCAAUAAAACAAUUACAAAGCACAAUGAAAAAUUCUCACCUCUACCCUAUUUCUCAAACUUAUCCCCAUUUGAGAAAGGAUAAGAGAACAUAGGCACAAUGACCAAGAGUUAUCCUGCUUUCACAUCGUGGAAUUGGAGUUGUAAGCUGGGCAGUCUUUCUAAAGAACUCUAGUUCCUAAUACGUAUUCAGAAUCAUUCACAUGUGUAAUAGCAUGUAUGUCAUAUUCAUAAGCGUACAUACACCCAGGUAAAUAUCAACUAAGAAUUAAAUAUGAACAUGCUGCAGACCAUGUGCUAAAGAACUGUUAUAUCUAUGAUGAAAGAGCAGGGGUGGGGAGUUCCCAUUGUGGCUCGGUGGAAACAAACCCGACUAGUAUCCAUGAGAAUGUGGGUUUGAUCCCUGGCCCUGACCCUGCUCAGCAGGUUAAGGAUCUGGCGUUGCCAUGAGCUGUGGUGUAGGUCAUAGAAGUGGCUCAGAUCUGGUAUUCCUGUGGCUGUGGUGUAGGCCAGCAGCUGUAGAUCCAAUUUGACUUCUAGCCUGGGAAUUUCCAUACGCCUCAGGUGCAGCCCUAAAAAAAAAGAAAGAAAAAAAAAGGCAGGUGUGAACAUCAGUCCUGAGAAGUUUCACUACAUUCCUGUAACAACCCUGCAGUGUCAAAACUCUAGUGCCAUAGCUCUUUGAAAGUAAGAGAAUGAACGUACCUACGUUCUAUUUGAGGUGAGGUAACCCAGAUCCUCUUGUUUUUAAUAUGAGACCUUCUUACGUGGCACAUUGUUAGUACAUACACGGAUGUGGUUGAGUGGACAUGCAGAGGGAGUAGGAUGAUGGCUAUUACAGCUGGGUUUCUGCUGGACUUAAUGUCCUAGACACUUUACAUUCAUUAUGGUUUUAUUUCUUGAAUACUACAUCAGUGAAUUAGGAA